rnacentral:rRNA from 1 species
UAGGGCUUCACACGUCAUACAAUGGUCGGUACAGAGGGUUGCCAAGCCGCGAGGUGGAGCCAAUCCCAAGAAAGCCGAUCGUAGUCCGGAUUGUUCUCUGCAACUCGAGAGCAUGAAGUCGGAAUCGCUAGUAAUCGCGGAUCAGCAUGUCGCGGUGAAUACGUUCCCGGGUCUU